rnacentral:rRNA from 1 species
AUAUCAAUAAGCGGAGGAAAAGAAACUAACAAGGAUUCCCCUAGUAACUCGCGAGUGAAGCGGGAAAAGCUCAAAUUUAAAAUCUGGCGGUCUUUGGUCGUCCGAGUUGUAAUCUAGAGAAGUGUUUUCCGCGUUGGACCGUGUAUAAGUUCCUUGGAAUAGGACGUCAUAGAGGGUGAGAAUCCCGUCUUUGACACGGACUACCAAUGCUCUGUGAUGCGCUCUCAAAGAGUCGAGUUGUUUGGGAAUGCAGCUCAAAAUGGGUGGUAAAUUCCAUCUAAAGCUAAAUAUUGGCGAGAGACCGAUAGCGAACAAGUACCGUGAGGGAAAGAUGAAAAGCACUUUGGAAAGAGAGUUAAACAGUACGUGAAAUUGCUGAAAGGGAAACACUUGAAGUCAGUCGCGUCGCUCAGAACUCAGCCUGGCUUUUGCUUGGUGUAUUUUCUGUGUGACGGGCCAGCAUCAAUUUUGAUCAUUGGAAAAAUUCCAGAGGAAUGUGGCAUCUUCGGGUGUGUUAUAGCCUCUGGUUGCAUACAAUGGUUGGGAUUGAGGAUAUCAGCACGCCUUUUGGCCGGGGUUCGCCCACGUUCGUGCUUAGGAUGCUGGCGUAAUGGCUUUAAAUGACCCGUCUUGAAACACGGACCAAGGAGUCUAACAUACCUGCGAGUGUUUGGGUGGCAAACCCGAGCGCGUAAUGAAAGUGAAAACUGGGAUCCCUGUCGUGGGGAGCACCAGUGCCCGGACCAGACCUUCUGUGACGGCUCCGCGGUAGAGCAUGCAUGUUGGGACCCGAAAGAUGGUGAACUAUGCCUGAAUAGGGUGAAGCCAGAGGAAACUCUGGUGGAGGCUCGUAGCGAUUCUGACGUGCAAAUCGAUCGUCAAAUUUGGGUAUAGGGGCGAAAGACAAUCGAACCAUCUAGUAGCUGG